rnacentral:rRNA from 1 species
GUGGCGAACGGGUGAGUAAUAUAUCGGAACGUACCCAAGAGUGGGGGAUAACGUAGCGAAAGUUACGCUAAUACCGCAUACGAUCUAAGGAUGAAAGCAGGGGAUCUUCGGACCUUGUGCUCCUGGAGCGGCCGAUAUCUGAUUAGCUAGUUGGUGAGGUAAAGGCUCACCAAGGCCACGAUCAGUAGCUGGUCUGAGAGGACGACCAGCCACACUGGAACUGAGACACGGUCCAGACUCCUACGGGAGGCAGCAGUGGGGAAUUUUGGACAAUGGGCGAAAGCCUGAUCCAGCAAUGCCGCGUGAGUGAAGAAGGCCUUCGGGUUGUAAAGCUCUUUUGUCAGGGAAGAAACGGUUUGGGCUAAUACCCUGAGCUAAUGACGGUACCUGAAGAAUAAGCACCGGCUAACUACGUGCCAGCAGCCGCGGUAAUACGUAGGGUGCAAGCGUUAAUCGGAAUUACUGGGCGUAAAGCGUGCGCAGGCGGUUUUGUAAGUCUGACGUGAAAUCCCCGGGCUCAACCUGGGAAUUGCGUUGGAGACUGCAAGGCUAGAAUCUGGCAGAGGGGGGUAGAAUUCCACGUGUAGCAGUGAAAUGCGUAGAGAUGUGGAGGAACACCGAUGGCGAAGGCAGCCCCCUGGGUCAAGAUUGACGCUCAUGCACGAAAGCGUGGGGAGCAAACAGGAUUAGAUACCCUGGUAGUCCACGCCCUAAACGAUGUCUACUAGUUGUCGGGUUUUAAUUAACUUGGUAACGCAGCUAACGCGUGAAGUAGACCGCCUGGGGAGUACGGUCGCAAGAUUAAAACUCAAAGGAAUUGA